rnacentral:rRNA from 1 species
UACGUAGGGGGCUAGCGUUGUCCGGAAUCAUUGGGCGUAAAGAGCGUGUAGGCGGUCCGGUAAGUCCGCUGUGAAAGUCGGGGGCUCAACCCUCGAAUGCCGGUGGAUACUGUCGGGCUAGAGUGCGGAAGAGGCGAGUGGAAUUCCUGGUGUAGCGGUGAAAUGCGCAGAUAUCAGGAGGAACACCGGUGGCGAAGGCGGAUCUCUGGGCCUGUCCUGACGCUCAGGCGCGAAAGCUAGGGGAGCAAACAGG